UAAAAGAGAAGAUGGCGCUACAGAAGGUGAAGGGAAACCUGGAGAGAAUGUUCGACAAGAACCUGACAGAUCUGGUCAGGGGAAUCAGGAACAACCGUGAGAGUGAAGGAAAAUAUAUUGCUCAAUGUCUGGAGGAGAUAAAGCUAGAGCUAAGACAGUAUAACCCCUCUGUGAAAGCGAAUGCUGUAGCUAAGCUGACCUACCUACAGAUGUUGGGGUAUGAUAUAUCCUGGGCAGGAUUUAACAUAAUAGAGGUGAUGUCAAGUACUAAGUUUACAGAAAAGAGAAUAGGAUACUUGGCUGCAAGUCAAUCCUUUCAUCAGGAUACCGAGGUGUUGAUGUUGGCAACGAAUAUGAUCAGGAAGGAUCUGAGCUCGACCUCACAAUACGAGGCUGGACUAACCUUGUCCUCUCUCUCCUGCUUCCUAUCCCCUGACCUGGCUAGGGAUCUCGCAAAUGAUAUUAUGUCUCUUCUCACCUCUACUAAACCAUAUCUUAGGAAGAAAGGUGUACUGCUGUUGUACAAAGUGUUUCUAAGAUAUCCAGAGGCAUUGAGGCCGGCCUUUCCGAGGUUAAAGGAGAAACUGGAGGACCCAGACCCAGGUGUACAGUCUGCUGCUGUGAAUGUAAUCUGUGAGCUGGCUAGGAAGAACCCUAAGAACUAUUUAUCCUUGGCUCCGACCUUCUUCAAGCUGAUGACCUCGUCCACCAACAACUGGAUGCUCAUCAAGAUUAUUAAACUAUUUGGUGCUCUCACUCCUCUAGAACCAAGGUUGGGUAAGAAGCUGAUUGAACCCUUGACGAACCUGAUCCAUUCAACCUCAGCCAUGUCCUUGCUCUACGAGUGCAUCAACACCGUCAUAGCGGUCCUCAUCUCUAUAUCUACAGGAAUGCCAAACCAUGCCGCGUCAAUUCAGCUCUGCGUACAGAAACUAAGGAUACUGAUAGAGGAUAGUGAUCAGAACCUCAAGUAUCUAGGUCUACUAGCAAUGUCUAAGAUAUUAAAAACUAGCCCGAAAUCUGUUUCAUCUCAUAAGGAUCUAGUAAUGACAUGCCUUGAUGAUGCAGAUGACUCAAUCAGACUAAGAGCACUAGACCUUCUGUCAGGAAUGGUAUCGAAGAAGAACUUGAUGGAGAUUGUGAAAAAGUUGAUGUCUCACAUGUCCAAGGCGGAGGGAACAACUUACAGGGAUGAGCUGUUAACUAAAAUCCUGGAGAUCUGUAAUCAGAACGACUACCAGUAUAUUUCAAACUUCGAAUGGUAUGUGAGUGUACUAGUGGAGCUGAGCCAGAUGGAGGGAGGAACCCACGGUGGUAAACUAGCACAUCAGAUGAUGGAUGUUUCUAUCAGGGUUGAAUCAAUCCGACCUUUCGCAGUAGAGCAGAUGUCUCUUCUCAUUGAGAACUCAUCAGUUCUUCUCAGAUCUGGGCGACAUACAUCAGCAGCUGAGGUUCUGUAUGCAGCUUGUUGGUUAGUUGGAGAGUUUUCUACUCUUCUAUCCAAUCCUAGACAAGCUCUGAUAUCUAUGAUUCAAGGUCUAGAUCCUCAUCUAGCCCCUCAUAUACAGGCCACCUAUGUUCACAACAUACUGAAGCUGUAUACUAGACUGGAAGAAACUGAUACUGAAAUAGAUUCUAUGAUCUUGGUGAAACUGGAAGAUUUAGUUUCAAGUCCAAACCUUGAGGUUCAGGAGAGAGCUAGUACAGCACUCCAGGUUGUCAAGAGUAUCUCCAACCCUGAUUUGGGACAGGACAAUCUUCGUCAAGAUUUUCAGGUUCUGUAUGCUGGGGAACUCAACCCUGUUGGACCUAAAGCACAGAAGAAAGUGCCUGUUCCCGAAGGUUUGGAUUUAGAUGCUUGGAUCAACCCUCCUCCUGAAGAGUCAGAGAGUGAAGAUGAAAAUAAUGAAGAGAUGAAUGGAGGUCUGGGCCAAGUAUUUGUGAAAGAUGAGCAGGCUGACAAAUCUAAACAGUAUAAACCGGAACCUACAUCACAGGAACUAGAGGCGAGUAGGGUAGCCAGGCUAGCUGUUCAAUCUAGUAAUCCUAAUUAUCUCAAGGCGCCAACCAGGUCUCCUAUGCAUGAGGUUGAAUGUGAUGGUAGAGAGGAGAUCCCAGUGCAAGCGAUAGAUCUAGAUGUUCCCCUUCAUAUACCAGGACUAGCAAGUGUCGACUCCUAUUUGAACCUUGAAUCUAAAACUGAUAAAAAGAAAAAGAAGAAGAAGAAAUCAAAGAAAGCCGUGAGCAGUAGCGAGGAUGAUGAACCUAAUAUUGCAGUCUCAAAGCACCUAGAGAUGCCUGAAGGUGCUAGUGUAUCCGACCUAGAUGACGAUCAGUUUGAUCCUCUAGAUCCGCAUAGUGCACUCGCACAGAUAUCUUUAGAGGAUCUUGAACCUACUCGGGACAAGUCCAAGAAGGACAAGAAGAAAGGAUAUUCAGACCUAGUGGAGAUACAGAACAACGGUGGGUUUGAGUUGCUGAAUAGUAGUGGGGAAACACCUCUUGUGGAGCACAAAACCUUCAAGAAAAAGCACAAAACGGAGAAGAAGAAGUCCAAGAAGAAGGAGAAGGAACAGGAGAGGGAGCAGGAUCUCCUUGGGUUGGAUGAGGAUGAGAAGGAGCAGGAGAUUGAGCAGCCUGGAACGGGAUUAGUAAAGCUGAGCCAAGUUCUCUGCUCUGAUGAAAACCUUCAAGUAUCCUACUCCCCCUCGGAGUGCAAGGUAACCAAUGGAGCAUGCUCCGUCCCUCUAACAAUAACCAACCUCGGAGACGAUAAAUGCAAGGAGUUAAAUCUGACUCUAAACGAUGAAUAUUCUUUGACUAAAUCUCUGAAGCCCGGAGAGGAGAAGACGAAAACCGUUGUGGUUCCGGUAGAAGGAGAGAUGAUUCUCAGUAUCCCUGCUAUCCUGGAUUACAGGUUAAAGAAAGAGAGAAAGCUAGAGUUUAGUUUAACCUUACCAGCUACUGCAUGGUUGACCGGAGCAGCUUCUGAUACUGAGCAGAUGGCUGAGCUGCUGAUGAGCGGUCAGCUUGCAUUUAUGCUCUCAGCUAGCAUACACGGAGAAUAUUCGAUUAAGAGCGUACUGCCCCGGCUGGUAGGACUAGGACUGUAUCAGGUGGAUGUACAGCAGGGUACAACAGCAUCUAUGUACGGUAUUUCCUGUACUGGAACACAGCUCGCCUUUCUAGUAAAGCUGAAUCCUGGUAUCCUCGUGGUCGAGGGUAGGUCGAGUAAUAAGGAGCUCCUGGCUGCUAUUCUAGAACAGAUAUCUGCUGCUCUAGUCUGAUUUUUCAUCCAUUAUCCACUAGGCUGAUUUUCCAUCCAUUAUCCACAAGCCUGAUUUUUUCAUCUAUAAUCCACUAGGCUGAUUUUUCAUCCAUAUUCCACUAGGCUGAUUUUUCAUCCAUAAUCCACUAGGCUGAUUUUUCAUCCAUAAUCCACUAGGCUGAUUUUUCAUUCAUAAUCAUCUAGGCUGAUUUUUCAUCCAUUAUUCACUAGCCUGAUUUUCCAUCCAUUAUCAACUAGCCUGAUUUUUCAUCCAUAAUCCACAAGGCUGAUUUUUCAUUCAUAAUCAUCCAGCCGGAUUUUCCAUCCAUUAUCCAUUAGCCGGAUUUUCCUUCCAUUGUCCACUAGCUUGAUUUUCCACUCAUUAUCCACUAGCCUGGUUUUCCAUCCAUUAUCCACUAGCCUGAUUUUCCUUCCAUUAUCCACUAGCCGGAUUUUUCACCGAUUAUCUACUAACCUGGUUCUCCAUUCAUUGUCCUUAAGCUUGAUUUUUCAAAAAUUCCCUUAACCCACGUUACAUGUACACUAUGUGAUUAAUUAUUCUUUACAUUUGUUCCAAAAAUUUUUAUAAUUAUGCAUACAUGUUACGUACUUACCUAAUAUUUAUCUUGAAAUGAAAACUAUUUUACUAUUAUAAAUAAUUCAUAUAUUUUAUUUCAGAAAA
rnacentral:misc_RNA from 1 species